UGGUGGGUAGUUUGACUGGGGCGGUCUCCUCCUAAAGAGUAACGGAGGAGCACGAAGGUUGGCUAAUCCUGGUCGGACAUCAGGAGGUUAGUGCAAUGGCAUAAGCCAGCUUGACUGCGAGCGUGACGGCGCGAGCAGGUGCGAAAGCAGGUCAUAGUGAUCCGGUGGUUCUGAAUGGAAGGGCCAUCGCUCAACGGAUAAAAGGUACUCCGGGGAUAACAGGCUGAUACCGCCCAAGAGUUCAUAUCGACGGCGGUGUUUGGCACCUCGAUGUCGGCUCAUCACAUCCUGGGGCUGAAGUAGGUCCCAAGGGUAUGGCUGUUCGCCAUUUAAAGUGGUACGCGAGCUGGGUUUAGAACGUCGUGAGACAGUUCGGUCCCUAUCUGCCGUGGGCGCUGGAAGACUGAGGGGGGCUGCUCCUAGUACGAGAGGACCGGAGUGGACGCAUCACUGGUGUUCGGGUUGUCAUGCCAAUGGCACUGCCCGGUAGCUAAAUGCGGAAAAGAUAAGUGCUGAAAGCAUCUAAGCACGAAACUUGCCCCGAGAUGAGUCUUCCCUGAGACUUUGAGUCUCCUGAAGGAACGUUAAAGACGAUGACGUUGAUAGGCCGGGUGUGUAAGCGCAGCGAUGCGUUGAGCUAACCGGUACUAAUGAACC
rnacentral:rRNA from 1 species